UUUUUGAUAUUAAGACCCUGGAAAUGAAGCCAAGUCCCCGGUUAUACCGAAUUAUUUAACGAUAUUACGAAAGCAUCAAAGAAAAAAGGAAACACAUCAUGGUACGAUAACAUAAGUUCACGGACGCCGCUGCCUGGCGUAGUGACCUGGCCGCAGUAACCUGAGUGACAUAUAGUGAAGUGUUGGGAACUCCUUCGGUUUAAGGAAUAUUUUAAAGCAAAAGAGGAGUCUUACGCAGUCUUACGAUAGUCUUUCUCUUCUUGGGUGCCAUAAGCUCGCCACAGGUGUCCUCCAGCCUAUGUAAAGCAACAGGAAAGGGGAGAAGCAGAGAAUUUGAAGAAACAGAGAGAACGAAGGGAGGAAUGAGAGAAAGAGAGAUAACAGGAGAAGAGGAAGGAUAUAGCGAGAAGUAGCGACUAGGAGAGGACAAGAAGAAAUAGGAGAAAAAAGAA